rnacentral:rRNA from 1 species
AUACGGAGGGUGCGAGCGUUAAUCGGAAUUACUGGGCGUAAAGCGUACGUAGGCGGUUAUUUAAGUCAGAUGUGAAAGCCCCGGGCUUAACUUGGGAACUGCAUUUGAAACUGGGUAACUAGAGUUUAGUAGAGGGGAGUGGAAUUUCAGGUGUAGCGGUGAAAUGCGUAGAGAUCUGAAGGAACACCAGUGGCGAAGGCGACUCCCUGGACUAAAACUGACGCUGAGGUACGAAAGCGUGGGUAGCAAACAGGAUUAGAAACCCCAGUAGUCC